rnacentral:lncRNA from 1 species
CUGCCCAGGAGGCAAGAGCUCACUUCUGCUGAGGCGUGCGCUCGCCGGCUGGAGUCCCACCUCUUGCUGCAGUCCGGCGAGACUCCUGGGACGAAUCCAUUCUUUCUCCUACUUCCUCUCUAGCAGGCACUCUGAGUCCUCCGCAAAAGAAUGUGCAGGAUCAGAGGCCUCUUUCCAUUCUGCAAGGGUCACGCAAGACCCAUGGAAUUCAACAGGAGGCAAUCUAGGGACUAUAAAAGGUCGCGACGUCUGGCUUGAGGUUAAUGGAAGUUACAAAGGGUCAAAAGCCGACAGUGAGCGCUACCAGGCCGCCCUGUGGGCUCAGGAUAGUUUCCCACCUACUCGACUGUAAUUAGUACUCUGGCGAGAGUAAAAAGGUACUGGCGUGGGACUUAGAAUACAGGAUGCCACCGGCUGAAGAAGAACCUUGUGUGUUUGGAAAAGCGGGCUGCUUCCUAUCGGUCUUGGAUAAAAGGCAACCCAGAGCCCGGGUGCAUCCCUAACUCAUGCCCAAGGAAGGUCGUGCGGAGCCAGAGGACCUAGAAUGUAUAGUGCGCCUUCUGGGUUUGUCCACACAAUAGCGCAGGAACACAGCGACCCAAUAUAGUGAGAAGUGGCCGCAGCGCACACCCUGAGACCCUUCACCAGGCGGCCCACCCGGAGCCUGCCUACUCAGCCCCGCUACCACGAUAAGCCUGGAAUGUCAAAUAUUUGUUCUAGGAACCCAGUGAAACCUUGAGACCUCGCCUCCCGAUUCUCGGGAGAUCUUGCUGACUGUGGAAUCCCUGGCUGUUCCGAACCCCCUGGAAAGAAGCGGCUGUUCCCAGGUUUCUGCAAGGUAACGAAUCUGAAGAGUCAACAGAAUUGAGCGGCUCCAUUCAUUCGACUCUGGUUCUCUCAACCAGGCAUUCCCCAUAUUAAAACAAUUCCAGAACUUCAAA